UACGUAGGGCGCAAGCGUUGUCCGGAAUUAUUGGGCGUAAAGAGCUCGUAGGCGGCUCGGCAAGUCGGGCGUGAAAUGCCGGGGCUCAACCCCGGGACUGCGUCCGAUACUUCCGAGCUGGAGGUAGGUAGGGGAGAUCGGAAUUCCUGGUGUAGCGGUGAAAUGCGUAGAUAUCAGGAGGAACACCGGUGGCGAAGGCGGCUUCCUGGACAGAAACUGACGCUGAGGCGCGAAAGCUAGGGGAGCAAACAGG
rnacentral:rRNA from 1 species